rnacentral:rRNA from 1 species
AGCGAACGUUAGCGGCGCGCCUAACACAUGCAAGUCGCACGAGAAACGGAGCAAUCCGCGGUACAGUGGCGCACGGGUGAGUAACACGUGGAUGACCUUCCCUGGAGUGGUGGAUAACCUGCCGAAAGGCGGGCUAAUACAGCAUGGGACCACGACGCUAUGGCGAUGUGGUGAAAGCGGGCCUCUAUAUAUAAGCUCGCGCUCCGGGACGGGUCCGCGUCCCANCAGCUAGUUGGUGAGGUAACGGCUCACCAAGGCAUCGACGGGUAGCUGGUCUGAGAGGAUGGCCAGCCACACUGGAACUGAGACACGGUCCAGACUCCUACGGGAGGCAGCAGUGGGGAAUCUUGCGCAAUGGGCGAAAGCCUGACGCAGCGACGCCGCGU